UUAGGAACGAACAUAUCUGAUCUUUCUUUCAAAGAGAUGCUCAAUGUCGAAUUAUCUACUUGAGCAGCAACAACUGGAACAAGUUUCCGCACUGCAGUCUGACCAGGAAAAUUUUGCUGACACUAGUACCACUGAUUAUCUAAGCCAUCUCUUCCUCAUUUGCUAAAAAGAAAAAAAAAAGAAAGAAAAAAAAAGAACAGAUUCUAUAAGGGUCUAAGUGCCACUUCCAAACAUCUCUUAAAUACCACCAGGGAUGGACUCUACCAACUUCCCUGGACAGCCCACUUCAAUGCUUGAUCACCUUCUCCAUCAGGAAGUUCUUCCUGAUAUCUAACCUAAACCUCCCCUGGUGCAACAUGAGACUGUUUACUUGUGUCCUAUCACCUGUCACCUGAGAAAAGCGACUAGCACUCUCCUUGGUGCAAUUUCCUUUCAGGUAGUUAUAGAGAGUGAUGUGGUCUCUCCUCAGCUGCCUCCAGACUGAAGAGUCACAGUUCCCUCAGCCUCUCCUUGUAACUCUUGUUUUCUAGUGCCUUCACCAGCUUCAUUGCCUUUCUCUGAAUGUGUUCCAGCAGCUCAGUAUCCUUCUCGCAGUGAGUGGCCCCAAACAGAACGGAGUACUCUCAUUCGGUUGGGUGCAUCCCUUUCCUUUCAUGAACGCUAGCAUAUAAACAACACCCACGAGCACAGGCAGAAGAGUAGCCUAUUUUAGCUAUCAGAAGUUUAUUUUCUGUAAAUGGGUCAGUUCUGCAGUCCCAUGAUUUCCUGCUGUUCCUCAUGCAUCAGAGGACGCCACCUGACCACCCAGUGAGACCUCAGAGGUGCAGAACUCUGACUCGGACUGGAAACUGGGACUUCCAGCAAGAGUGACUGAUUCACUCUUUGAGCAAACACUUCAGUGAGACUGGGGAGUCAAACUUCCAGCUGCUACAGUAAUGGAUGCAGUAUCCGAAGGCACUGUUGAUGAGAGAACGCAUCAGCUCCAAGCUAUAGAGUAUUUUCUACACAGUUGCUUUCUGUUCACACAACAUUCACCAAGUUCUCCAGGUCUGCUGCAGAUCAGUUCUUCAAGAUAGAAGAUAAUUUGAAGAAAGAACCACAUCCAAGCCUUUGCUGGCAGGGAAAAAAAAAAAAACAGAGCAACAUAGAGAUAGAUAAAAAGGCAGCAGUGUAUCCAAAAUAGGAGAUGGCAUACUGUUGAAGACAUCUACAGAGAUUGUAAGUUUUCAGGACAGCUUUUCACAAUUCCCAGUUAAGAAGUCAGAGGACAUAAAAAUUGGGGGAACUGGCAAAUAAAGAAGAAGUUAAAACAGAGAGGUCUUGG
rnacentral:lncRNA from 1 species